CAUUUGCGCCUGCGCUUCCAGCCGGGGCUGCCCAAUGCCCUCAAGCUGCACAUUGUCGGACGCGGCCCCAAGUACUGCAGUGAGCUUCCUGGGGCCCCUGUCAGCUCCCAGGCGUCUCCAAAGCCCCGCAGCAGCGGCGAUCUGAGAAAUGACAGGAAGAAGCAACAGCUCGGUCUCUACCCUCCUCCUCUCCUGAGACUCCAGCAUCUCCGUCACCGGUUCACUAAACCUCGGGUGCCGGUUCUGGCGCCCCCUCACGGUAGACAUGGCGGCCGCAGUGAAUUAGACCAGAGUGGCCCAUGCACUGCCUCGUGGGAGCCUUAGUUCAGGGCUAGAACCUUUCUGGAGUUGGAACGCGGUAAAAACUACAUUUCCCAGAAGCCCAAGAGACAGAGACGCAGAAGGGCCCGGGGCAUGGCGGGAGAUGGAGUUUGGGGACCGUAGUGGGUUUGUGCUGGCAGAGAAACGAGUUAGAGCAGUUGAACUGCUUGCUCUGGUGUUCGCCUUGCGUGUUCGAGGGAACAUGGGAAGAUUACAUUUCCCAACCUUCCUGGGUGAUAUGAUCUCACCAAUGGGAAUGUGGACAGAGGAAUGUGUCACUUCAGCUCCAAGGCAAUAAGUGUCAUUGUGAAUCUUUUCCCCACUCCCCUAACUCCCAACCUCUCUCCCAUCUGAGCAGUUGGGAUCAAAGAACUUUGGUGGAGAUACUGGGUGGAAGCCCCUGGGAUUUGAGUACUGCUGGAGGAGGAGAGCACACCAACAUUGUCUACCUCACAUUGUGAUGUAUUGAGAAACCAACCUUUGUUACGUUAAGCCACUGAAGUAUGAAGGUUUAUUUGGUACCAUAGGUUGUGGAUUAAAGAUGGCCACACAU